rnacentral:rRNA from 1 species
GAAAAGGGGGGGGAAGCGGGUGGGAUUGGGGAGGGGGGGGAGGUACGGGGAGCAGGGAAGGGGGAGGGGCGAGGGGGCGGGCGGAAGGGGGCAGGUUCCCCCUCCCGGCCCCUUCUUUUCUUGUUUUUCUUCCCCCCCCCACCGCCCGCCCGACGCUACACAAUACACACAGGAAUGUUUCUCAUUAAAAGGGGAGGAAGGGUGAACACGUGCACCCUCCCCGAGGGGUGGAUACAAUGGAACCAGUCUUAACCGAAAUAAAUUUGUGUCCCAACCAAAAGUAAAAGGCGUUUCGGCUCCACAAAAGAAGGUCCCGCGGCCAUUUUUAGUUGGGGGAGAAAACCCCCCCAAAACCAAUGAUCCUAGCGGAUUGGAAGACUGUUCGCCCACUUGGGAAUGAACCCCGCCCAAAUUCCUGCGGGGAGCUGCAGUAGGGAUUCUCCACAAGGGCGAAACCCUGAUGAACAACGCCGCGUGUUGAUGAAGCUUUCGGGUCGUAAAGCACUGUUGUAUGGGAAGAACAGCUAGAAUAGGAAAUGAUUUUAGUUUGACGGUACCAUACCAGAAAGGGACGGCUAAAUACGUGCCAGCAGCCGCGGUAAUACGUAUGUCCCGAGCGUUAUCCGGAUUUAUUGGGCGUAAAGCGAGCGCAGACGGUUUAUUAAGUCUGAUGUGAAAGCCCGGAGCUCAACUCCGGAAUGGCAUUGGAAACUGGUUAACUUGAGUGCAGUAGAGGUAAGUGGAACUCCAUGUGUAGCGGUGGAAUGCGUAGAUAUAUGGAAGAACACCAGUGGCGAAGGCGGCUUACUGGACUGCAACUGACGUUGAGGCUCGAAAGUGUGGGUAGCAAACAGGAUUAGAUACCCUGGUAGUCCACACCGUAAACGAUGAACACUAGGUGUUAGGAGGUUUCCGCCUCUUAGUGCCGAAGCUAACGCAUUAAGUGUUCCGCCUGGGGAGUACGACCGCAAGGUUGAAACUCAAAGGAAUUGACGGGGACCCGCACAAGCGGUGGAGCAUGUGGUUUAAUUCGAAGCAACGCGAAGAACCUUACCAGGUCUUGACAUCCUUUGAAGCUUUUAGAGAUAGAAGUGUUCUCUUCGGAGACAAAGUGACAGGUGGUGCAUGGUCGUCGUCAGCUCGUGUCGUGAGAUGUUGGGUUAAGUCCCGCAACGAGCGCAACCCUUAUUGUUAGUUGCCAGCAUUCAGAUGGGCACUCUAGCGAGACUGCCGGUGACAAACCGGAGGAAGGCGGGGACGACGUCAGAUCAUCAUGCCCCUUAUGACCUGGGCUACACACGUGCUACAAUGGCGUAUACAACGAGUUGCCAACCCGCGAGGGUGAGCUAAUCUCUUAAAGUACGUCUCAGUUCGGAUUGUAGUCUGCAACUCGACUACAUGAAGUCGGAAUCGCUAGUAAUCGCGGAUCAGCACGCCGCGGUGAAUACGUUCCCGGGUCUUGUACACACCGCCCGUCACACCAUGGGAGUUUGUAAUGCCCAAAGCCGGUGGCCUAACCUUUUAGGAAGGAGCCGUCUAAGGCAGGACAGAUGACUGGGGGAAGUCGAAACAAGGAGCCAGGG